UUCCGGUUGAUCCUGCCGGACCUGACUGCUAUCGGAUUGAUACUAAGCCAUGCGAGUCAUUGUAGCAAUACAAGGCAGACGGCUCAGUAACGCGUAGUCAACCUAACCUAUGGACGGGAAUAACCUCGGGAAACUGAGUAUAAUGCCCGAUAGAACAUUAUGCCUGGAAUGGUUUAUGUUCCAAAUGAUUUAUCGCCGUAGGAUGGGACUGCGGCCUAUCAGUUUGUUGGUGAGGUAAUGGCCCACCAAGGCUAUUACAGGUACGGGCUCUGAGAGGAGAAGCCCGGAGAUGGGUACUGAGACACGGACCCAGGCCCUAUGGGGCGCAGCAGGCGAGAAACCUUUGCAAUGUGCGCAAGCACGACAAGGUUAAUCCGAGUGUUUCCUGCUAAAGGAAUCUUUUGCUUGUCCUAAAAACACUAGUGAAUAAGGGGUGGGCAAGUUCUGGUGUCAGCCGCCGCGGUAAAACCAGCACCUCAAGUUGUCAGGAGGAUUAUUGGGCCUAAAGCAUCCGUAGCCUGCUCUGUAAGUUUCCGGUUAAAUCCAUUUGCUCAACAAAUGGGCUGCCGGAAAAACUGCAAAGCUAGGGAGUGGGAGAGGUAGACGGUACUCGGUAGGAAGGGGUAAAAUCCUUUGAUCUAUUGAUGACCACCUGUGGCGAAGGCGGUCUACCAGAACACGUUCGACGGUGAGGGAUGAAAGCUGGGGGAGCAAACCGGAUUAGAUACCCGGGUAGUCCCAGCUGUAAACGAUGCAGACUCGGUGAUGCGCUGGCUUGUGGCCAGUGCAGUGCCGCAGGGAAGCCGUUAAGUUUGCCGCCUGGGAAGUACGUACGCAAGUAUGAAACUUAAAGGAAUUGGCGGGGGAGCAC
rnacentral:rRNA from 1 species